GGGCCGAUAGCUCAGCUGGCAGAGCACCGCCCUUUUAAGGCGGGUGUCCUGGGUUCGAUCCCCAGUCGGCUCACCA
rnacentral:tRNA from 1 species